UACGGAGGGUGCAAGCGUUAUCCGGAUUUACUGGGUUUAAAGGGUGUGUAGGCGGACUUUUAAGUCAGCGGUGAAAUCUCCGGGCUCAACCCGGAAACUGCCAUUGAUACUAUUGGUCUUGAAUGUUGUUGAGGUGGGCGGAACGGGUCAUGUAGCGGUGAAAUGCAUAGAUAUGACCCGGAACACCGAUUGCGAAGGCAGCCCACUAAGCAAUGAUUGACGCUGAGGCACGAAAGCGUGGGGAU
rnacentral:rRNA from 1 species